rnacentral:rRNA from 1 species
GAUGAACGCUAGCGGCAGGCUUAAUACAUGCAAGUCGAGGGGCAGCGGGGGUAGCAAUACCUGCCGGCGACCGGCAAACGGGUGCGGAACACGUACACAACCUUCCUUAUGGUGGGGGAUAGCCCAGAGAAAUUUGGAUUAAUACCCCGUAGAAUAGCAGUAAGGCAUCUUACAGUUAUUAAAGAUUUAUUGCCAGAAGAUGGGUGUGCGUCUGAUUAGGUAGUUGGUAGAGGUAACGGCUCACCAAGCCAACGAUCAGUAACUGGUGUGAGAGCACGACCAGUCACACGGGCACUGAGACACGGGCCGACUCCUACGGGAGGCAGCAGUAAGGAAUAUUGGUCAAUGGACGCAAGUCUGAACCAGCCAUGCCGCGUGGAGGAUGAAGGUCCUCUGGAUUGUAAACUUCUUUUAUCUGGGAAGAAAUGCUAUUUUUCUAAAGUGUUUGAGGUACCAGAUGAAUAAGCACCGGCUAAC